rnacentral:rRNA from 1 species
GGACGAACGCUGGCGGCGUGCCUAAUACAUGCAAGUAGAACGCUGAAGAGAGGAGCUUGCUCUUCUUGGAUGAGUUGCGAACGGGUGAGUAACGCGUAGGUAACCUGCCUUGUAGCGGGGGAUAACUAUUGGAAAUGAUAGCUAAUACCGCAUAACAAUGGAUGACACAUGUCAUUUAUUUGAAAGGGGCAAUUGCUCCACUACAAGAUGGACCUGCGUUGUAUUAGCUAGUAGGUGAGGUAAUGGCUCACCUAGGCGACGAUACAUAGCCGACCUGAGAGGGUGAUCGGCCACACUGGGACUGAGACACGGCCCAGACUCCUACGGGAGGCAGCAGUAGGGAAUCUUCGGCAAUGGGGGCAACCCUGACCGAGCAACGCCGCGUGAGUGAAGAAGGUUUUCGGAUCGUAAAGCUCUGUUGUAAGUCAAGAACGGGUGUGAGAGUGGAAAGUUCACACUGUGACGGUAGCUUACCAGAAAGGGACGGCUAACUACGUG